UGCCAGCAGCCGCGGUAAUACAGAGGGUCCUAGCGUUAAUCGGAAUCACUUGGGCUUAAAGGGUGCGUAGGUGGACCUGCAAGUACCUUGUGAAAUACCCCGGCUCAACCGGGGAACUGCUUGGUAGACUGCGGGUCUUGAGCUCGGUAGGGGCUGCCGGAACUCUAGGUGGAGCGGUGAAAUGCGUAGAUAUCUAGAGGAACGCCCAUGGCGAAGGCAGGCAGCUGGGCCGAUGCUGACACUGAGGCACGAAAGCGUGGGGAGCGAACGGGAUUAGAUA
rnacentral:rRNA from 1 species